GAUGAACGCUGGCGGCGUGCUUAACACAUGCAAGUCGAACGAAGCAACUUAUCACGAUUCCUUCGGGAUGACGAUUUGUUGACUGAGUGGCGGACGGGUGAGUAACGCGUGGGUAACCUGCCUUAUACAGGGGGAUAGCAGCUGGAAACGGCUGAUAAUACCGCAUAAGCGCACAGUAUCGCAUGAUACAGUGUGAAAAACUCCGGUGGUAUAAGAUGGACCCGCGUCUGAUUAGCUAGUUGGUGGGGCAACGGCCUACCAAGGCGACGAUCAGUAGCCGACCUGAGAGGGUGACCGGCCACAUUGGGACUGAGACACGGCCCAGACUCCUACGGGAGGCAGCAGUGGGGAAUAUUGCACAAUGGAGGAAACUCUGAUGCAGCGACGCCGCGUGAGCGAAGAAGUAUUUCGGUAUGUAAAGCUCUAUCAGCAGGGAAGAUAAUGACGUAC
rnacentral:rRNA from 1 species